GUGUGAAGCACCCAGGCGGGGAUACAGCACCCGGCAUUUCCCAAGCUUGUUCCACCCCAGCGGGAAUGCCAGUAUCUUCCUGAGCAGUGUUCCUCGCAUGCCGGUUUGGGAAACACGCCUACUGCUGUGCAGCCAGCCAAAAGGACUUAGUGCUACUCCUGGGAGGGAGUGUGGUGUUAAGGCCGUACCGGGGGAGCUCAGGAGUCAGAUGGCUGGGGUUCGUAUCCAGGGCGCAUCACGCUAGAGGGUGAUGCCGUCGUUCUCCUUGACGUCCACAUCUCUACCUACAGCCCACAUCCCCCUCAGUGCCACCACCGUGAGUCAGCCCCUAUUAGAUAUUUCUACCAGACGUCCUGCAGGCAGCCUUAACUCAACGUGUCCCAAACCAUCCCACUCAGCGUCCCUCACACUGCUCCUCAGCUCUGCGAACGGCAUGACGUCCACCCAGUUGUCCAAGCCAGAACCCUGCAGUCUUACUUGAGCCCAUUUCUCGCUGCUGCUGUUGCCUCUUGGGUCCACGCACCUCUUGCCGUGAUGGUGCAGGCCUGGUUGUCCCUGCCACGUGGACUAUAGUGACAGCCUGCUGUCUGGUCUCCUGCUUUGGCAUCAUACUCUUCUCCACAAGGCAGGCAGGGUGAUUUCUCUAAAAGGAGAAUCCGAUCAUGUGGCUUCCCUAUUGAAAGCCCUUCAGCGGCCCCCUGUGCACAGAAAAAAAGCCAAGCUCCACAGCUGGCUCUUCAGGCCCUGGCCCUGCUGUGCUCCUACCUCUCCGUGACCUAGCCGGGACACACCACUUGGAGUCCCCUGAAUGUUGCUAACUCUUGGCCCCAGGCCUUUGUAUGUGCUUCUCCCGCAGCCUGGGAUCACCCUGCGCUCACCGUGUUAAACUGCUCGUCCUUUAGGUUCAGCUCAGAGGUCAGCUUCCCUGGGAACCUUCAGGGAGAAACACCCAGCUGGGGAGAGGCGUCUGCGUCCUGUGCUUUCUCGCAGCACCGCAGGGACUGACCUAGGGGCGAGGGGCCGGGCAGAGGUGAGAACUCCCAGUGAGACCACAUGCCAUGCUUUGCCUGCUGGUGUAUCUCUAAUAUGCAGCCCUGGGCCUGCCGAGAGUUGGAACUGAAUACGUAUUGAAUUGAUGAAUGAACACCUUCCUUCCCUCUACAGUCACCCCCCUGCAGGAACUCAGGAAAAGGAGGCACUAACCUGCAGACCA